rnacentral:rRNA from 1 species
AGUAAUGUCUGGGAAACUGCCUGAUGGAGGGGGAUAACUACUGGAAACGGUAGCUAAUACCGCAUAACGUCGCAAGACCAAAGAGGGGGACCGUUCGGGCCUCAUGCCAUCAGAUGUGCCCAGAUGGGAUUAGCUAGUAGGUGGGGUAACGGCUCACCUAGGCGACGAUCCCUAGCUGGUCUGAGAGGAUGACCAGCCACACUGGAACUGAGACACGGUCCAG